GACGAACGCUGGCGGCGUGCCUAAUACAUGCAAGUCGAACGCUUCUUUCCUCCCGAGUGCUUGCACUCAAUUGGAAAGAGGAGUGGCGGACGGGUGAGUAACACGUGGGUAACCUACCCAUCAGAGGGGGAUAACACUUGGAAGCAGGUGCUAAUACCGCAUAACAGUUUAUGCCGCAUGGCAUAAGAGUGAAAGGCGCUUUCGGGUGUCGUUGAUGGAUGGACCCGCGGUGCAUUAGCUAGUUGGUGAGGUAACGGCUCACCAAGGCCACGAUGCAUAGCCGACCUGAGAGGGUGAUCGGCCACACUGGGACUGAGACACGGCCCAGACUCCUACGGGAGGCAGCAGUAGGGAAUCUUCGGCAAUGGACGAAAGUCUGACCGAGCAACGCCGCGUGAGUGAAGAAGGUUUUCAGAUCGUAAAACUCUGUUGUUAGAGAAGAACAAGGACGUUAGUAACUGAACGUCCCCUGACGGUAUCUAACCAGAAAGCCACGGCUAACUACGUG
rnacentral:rRNA from 1 species